rnacentral:lncRNA from 1 species
UUCUAAAUCCAUCAUUAAAGGGAUACUAAAGUCAAAUACUAAGUCAACGUGGACUGUUCAAAUACCAUUCCAGAAACCUCGCAACGCUUGUUUCAUGCCAAGGAAAGGACUUCGUUUACGAGAAAAUUACACCUGAAGUGUCCAAAUACCUUUAUCACAAUUCAAAUCUCCUGCCACCCAACCGGGGAGCUGCAUACACCAUCACCGCCCUUUGCUGCCGUCGGUGAGUAAAACGGCGCCCGACAGACGGCAGUACGGUUUUUUCCACAAAAUGCAAAUGCGCGGCCAUGGAGAAACUGAGCCAAGACAGAGCGUUAGAUUCGCUGCUGCAGCUGCUCUUGGUAAGUGGUGUGGAUCGUUCAGGCAUCCUGUGACAUCCCAUGAACAUGGCAUUCUCUGCUACUUGCAGUUUGUGCGAGUUUCACGAGCCAGCAAAACCAGCGCAUCAGUAUGCAAGAACGAAACUACUGAAACGCGAAAGCACGGGCAGCACAGAGUCGAGUGAAAAGGAAACCUUUCGA